rnacentral:rRNA from 1 species
AACGAACGCUGGCGGCAUGCCUAACACAUGCAAGUCGAACGAGACCUUCGGGUCUAGUGGCGCACGGGUGCGUAACGCGUGGGAACCUGCCCUUAGGUUCGGAAUACCUCCCCGAAAGGGGUGCUAAUACCGGAUAAUGUCUUCGGACCAAAGAUUUAUCGCCUUUGGAUGGGCCCGCGUUGGAUUAGCUAGUUGGUAGGGUAAAAGCCUACCAAGGCGACGAUCCAUAGCUGGUCUGAGAGGAUGAUCAGCCACACUGGGACUGAGACACGGCCCAGACUCCUACGGGAGGCAGCAGUGGGGAAUAUUGGACAAUGGGCGAAAGCCUGAUCAAGCAAUGCCGCGUGAGUGAUGAAGGCCUUAGGGUUGUAAAGCUCUUUUACCCGGGAUGAUAAUGACAGUACCGGGAGAAUAAGCUCCGGCUAACUCCGUG